rnacentral:rRNA from 1 species
CGCGUAGGUGGCGCGGGUAGUCGUCGUUGAAAGCUCAGGGCUCAACCCUGAGUCGGCCGGUGAUACUCCCGUGCUCGAGUGUGGUAGAGGCCAAUGGAAUUCCGGGUGUAGCGGUGGAAUGCGUAGAGAUCCGGAAGAACACCGGUGGCGAAGGCGGUUGGCUGGGCCACAACUGACACUGAUGCGCGACAGCGUGGGGAGCAAACA